rnacentral:pre_miRNA from 1 species
CAUCUACUCCCUCCAUUCCAAAUUACUCGUCGCGGAAAUGGAUGUAUCUAGAACUAAAAUACAUCUAGACACAUCCAUUUCUGCGACGAGUAAUUCGGAACGGAGGGAGUACCUU